rnacentral:rRNA from 1 species
UAUUGGUCAAUGGGCGGGAGCCUGAACCAGCCAAGUCGCGUGAGGGAGUAAGGCCCUACGUUUCGUACACCUCUUUUGCCGGGGAGCAGGGCGGCGGACGUGUCCGCCGUUUGAGAGUACCCGGAGAAAAAGCAUCGGAUAACUCCGUGCCAGCAGACGCGGUAAUACGGAGGAUGCGAGCGUUAUCUGGAUUUAUUUGGUUUAAAGGGUGCGUAGGCGGGCUUUUAAGUCAGCGGUAAAAAUUCGGGGCUCAAACCCGUCCGGCCGUUGAAACUGGGGGCCUUGAGUGGGCGAGAAGAAGGCGGAAUGCGUGGUGUAGCGGUGAAAUGCAUAGAUAUCACGCAGAACCCCGAUUGCGAAGGCAGCCUUCCGGCGCCCUACUGACGCUGAGGCACGAAAGUGCGGGGAUCGAACAGG